UACGUAGGGGGCAAGCGUUGUCCGGAUUUAUUGGGCGUAAAGAGCGUGUAGGCGGUUAGGUAGGUCCGUUGUGAAAACUCGAGGCUCAACCUCGAGACGCCGAUGGAAACCAUCUGACUAGAGUCGGAAGAGGAGAGUGGAAUUCCUGGUGUAGCGGUGAAAUGCGCAGAUAUCAGGAAGAACACCCGUGGCUAAGGCGGCUCUCUAGUACGUGACUGACGCUGAGACGCGAAAGCGUGGGGAGCGAACAGG
rnacentral:rRNA from 1 species